UACGGGGGGAGCAAGCGUUGUUCGGAUUUACUGGGCGUAAAGGGCGCGUAGGCGGUCGUGACAAGUCACUUGUGAAAUCUCCGGGCUUAACUCGGAAAGGUCAAGUGAUACUGUCGGACUAGAGUACAGAAGGGGCAACUGGAAUUCUCGGUGUAGCGGUGAAAUGCGUAGAUAUCGAGAGGAACACCUGCGGCGAAGGCGGGUUGCUGGGCCGACACUGACGCUGAUGCGCGAAAGCCAGGGGAGCGAACGGG
rnacentral:rRNA from 1 species